rnacentral:rRNA from 1 species
CCUACGGGAGGCAGCAGUGAGGAAUAUUGGUCAAUGGGCGCGAGCCUGAACCAGCCAAGUAGCGUGAAGGAUGACUGCCCUACGGGUUGUAAACUUCUUUUAUAAAGGAAUAAAGUGAGGCACGUGUGCCUUUUUGUAUGUACUUUAUGAAUAAGGAUCGGCUAACUCCGUGCCAGCAGCCGCGGUAAUACGGAGGAUCCGAGCGUUAUCCGGAUUUAUUGGGUUUAAAGGGAGCGUAGAUGGGUUGUUAAGUCAGUUGUGAAAGUUUGCGGCUCAACCGUAAAAUUGCAAUUGAUACUGGCAGCCUUGAGUACAGUUGAGGUAGGCGGAAUUCGUGGUGUAGCGGUGAAAUGCUUAGAUAUCACGAAGAACUCCGAUUGCGAAGGCAGCUUACUAAACUGCCACUGACAUUGAUGCUCGAAAGCGCGGGUAUCGAACAGGAUUAGAUACCCUGGUAGUC